UUCUUAUCAAGAAAGACCGAGGGAUAGGGCCCUACGACGUCUUAGCAACCUUGUAAAAGCUUGGUGCUAAUUCCCUUCCCAGUGUUUUGCUGGGUGAAGAUAAGAA
rnacentral:ncRNA from 1 species